ensembl:lncRNA
GAGCAUAGAAAGGAAGGCAAGCUGCAUGGUGUUUAUACUAUGCUCCUAACUUGCUCUCGUUAUUUCAAACUGUAAGCAUAAAGCUCGAGCAGCCUGAUGAUAUUUAGAAUGAGAUUCUUGGGCUGCCUGAACUCUUUCUUUUGUUUUUGGAGGAGCAUCUUAAUGUAUCUGUUUCUCCUCUCUACUUCUGUCUGUACUUGAGGUUUAAACAAUAUGCUCGUGGCAUGUAGAAUCUUAUACUGUGCAUAAAAGUGUGGAAAAUGUUUAGAAGUAUAUACAGGUCGAUUGUCUGUUUUCAUUGCUUGUGGCACACCCAGGAUUGUAAAUGCUUGUAUAAGGAAUUCAGUGACUACUUGGGCUGUUUCUUUUGCUGCUGGUAUUGCAUUUGCAAUCCUGAAAAAUGUCUACCACAACAUGGAUAAAAGACAGACGACCAAAAGAUUUAUAAUGGGAAUCAUCCAUUUGCCAAAUUUCAUUGGGUCUCAAACCACGAGGGUUCUUCCUUGGAGGCAGUGUAGGAGCAUAGAAAGGAAGGCAAGCUGUACAGGUUUUUACUAUGCUCCUACCUUCCUCUUGUUAUUCCAAAUUGUAAGCGUAAAGUUUGAGCAGCCUGAUGAUAUUUAGAAUGAUAUUCUUGGGCUGCCUGAAAUAAAGGAGUAUUGGCCAACAUGGUUAGAAGGCUAUCUGCCUUUGAAUUACUAUCCCAAAUAUAUCCCAAAUCCCUAUUCCUUAUAGGAUCCUUGGACAUGCAAGAUAUAAAUCUUACCUGGAUGCUUUCUCACUUGCUCUUUAAGUUCCGUAAAGAGCUGAUAUAUAUUACAGGCUACAAAUUUUAUUUGGGCUGUGGCAAUUCUCUGUACCAAACCUACUGAAUAGGCUAAUCAGAUAUUAUAUUAAUAUCUCAUGGAUAAUAAGUAAGAGCUAGCUAGAAUGAUUGCAUACAAUUCAUUCUGCUGAGUGGACUGAAAAGGAGUUCUGAAUACUCUCUUUAUAGUUAAGUCAUAAGAAUAUACAGUACAAAUGUUAUGUUUGGAUGCAUCUGUAAAGAGAGUUGAUCCUUUAAGAGGAACUUCAGAAACUUUUUCUUCUAGAAUCCAUCCUCAAUUAUAUAAUAGUCUGGUUAUCUUUAAUGGAGACCCAUGUGUAAAAUUUGGAGCCGUGGCUAACAAAAAUUUGCCACUCUGGUUUCACAGCAUACAUUAAUUUGUGCAUUAGUAUAAAAGGUGUAUGUCUUGUCAGGUCUUAUCCCAAAUACUUGUACUGCUCGCUUAAUGGCCUUUAAUAAAAUUCUAGCCACAAGCACUGGGAAAAGAGUAAGAGUUUGUUCUGGUUGUUGCAGGAGGUUCACCCACUCUAUCACACUGUUUGCUUGAUGGACUGCUGUGGGUGCCUCUUGUGUAGUAAAAAACUAAUAUUUCUAAGGGUAGUUGAGUGACUUUCAACCACACAGUUCAACUUCUCUCAAAGUCUCUUGAUGUUCUUUUAUAAGUUGGCCUGGUGAGUUUAAAGCAAUGUCUCCUCUUAAAAUGUCAUAUAAUGGUUGUACUUGAUAGGUAGUCAAUCCUAACACUGGAUGCAUCCAUUGGAUAUCUCCUAUCAAAUUCUGAAAGUCAUUUAAGGUGUUUAGCUUCUCUGUUCUUAAGGACAGUUUUUUUACUGUGAGCACUUUAGGGUAUACUUCAUAUCCUACAUUUUCCAAGGAAACGACUUCCCACAUUGCUUACAUUCGUAAGGCUUCUCUCCAGAUUGAUGCCCGAUGAGAACUGUACUAUGGCGCAACACCUUGCCAAGGUGUAUCUCUAGUGAGAAUAUUCUAAUGUCAACUGAGGUCUCUCUUGUGAAGGAAAGCUCUCCACACUCAUUACACUUAGAAGGUUUGCCUCCAGUAUGAAUCUUUUGAUUUUGAGUAAGUUCUUUGAUCAGGUACAAGGCCUUACAACAUUCAUUACACUAAUGAGAUUUUCCUCCAAUAUGAAUUCUUCAAUGUAAAUUAAGAGCUGUAGUCAGGCAGAAAGUCUUCCCAUAGUCAUUACAUUCUUAAGAUCUUUCACAGUAUGGAUCAUCUGAUGUCAAAUGAGGUCUAUCUUGCAGCAGAAGGCCUUCCCACAAUCAUUACAUUCAUUAUUAUUUCCUCACUAGCUGGGUGCCACAUUUCCAGAUUUGACUCAACUCACAGUCCAAGGUACCAUCCCUUAUAAGACUUUCCUGGCAUAAUUCCUCCAAAGAAAUGUCCAGCUUUGGGAUUGUCUAUUUGAUUUCAGGCCUACUGUCCCAACCUGAA